ACAGUCAACAGCAGAUUUACAUGUAAUAUAACAAAAAGGACUCGGUCGGCUCUUUUAUGUGAAUUAUCAGCCUACUACAAAAACACGGAUUUCUUGAGACUCCACAGUUUUUGCAUAUUGACAAGCAAAUUUGAGUGAGUAUAAUCAUUGUUUUCAGGGGCAGCAUGGUUCAGGGGUUAACAACGAGAAGGGUCAGGAUUCACAUCCCUGUUGGGUUCUUUCUGGGCGGAGUUUGGAUGUUCUCUCUAGGUACUCUGGCUUCCCUCCACAGCCUGAAGACAUGCAGCUCUCUCAGUGUGACAGGUGUUUGGUGCUUACCAGUUGCCAGUCAGCAAGAUUAUUCCCAUGGAAGGACAGUAGGACUAACACAGCUUUUGAUAUUUCACAUAGUCUAUUAAAGCCAAGACCAGAAGCUGAGACUUCAGAUAUUACCUUCUUUCAUCAGUUGAUCAGGCUAAGUCCUCCGCACUUUCGUCCUAUUCUAUUCAUUGUCUGAUCAUCGUGUAAUGCUGCUACAUCCUACACAACAG